AACGACUGCUAAGACUGGAUAGGAAACAAAAAGGCAUCUUUUUGUUUUUAAAAGACCUUCUUAGAAAGGUAUGCUAAAAGAGGGGCUUGCGCCACAUUAGUUAGUUGGUAGAGUAAAAGCCUACCAAGACGAUGAUGUGUAGCUGGACUGAGAGGUUGAACAGCCACAUUGGGACUGAGACACGGCCCAAACUCCUACGGGAGGCAGCAGUAGGGAAUUUUCGGCAAUGGAGGAAACUCUGACCGAGCAACGCCGCGUGAACGAUGAAGUAUUUCGGUAUGUAAAGUUCUUUUAUUGAAGAAGAAAAAGUAGUGGAAAAACUAUAUUGACGUUAUUCAAUGAAUAAGCCCCGGCUAACUAUGUGCCAGCAGCCGCGGUAAGACAUAGGGGGCGAGCGUUAUCCGGAAUUAUUGGGCGUAAAGGGUGCGUAGGCUGUUAGAUAAGUCUAUAAUUUAAUUUCAGUGCUUAACGCUGUCUUGUUAUAGAAACUGUCUUGACUAGAGUGAGAUAGAGGCAAGCGGAAUUCCAUGUGUAGCGGUAAAAUGUGUAAAUAUAUGGAGGAACACCAGAAGCGUAGGCGGCUUGCUGGGUCUUUACUGACGCUGAGGCACGAAAGCGUGGGUAGCAAACAGGAUUAGAUACCCUGGUAGUCCACGCCGUAAACGAUGAGUACUAAGUGUCGGGGUAAAACUCGGUACUGAAGUUAACACAUUAAGUACUCCGCCUGAGUAGUACGUACGCAAGUAUGAAACUUAAAGGAAUUGACGGGACUCCGCACAAGCGGUGGAUCAUGUUGUUUAAUUCGAAGAUACACGAAAAAUCUUACCAGGUCUUGACAUACUCUGCAAAGCUAUAGAAAUAUAGUGGAGGUUAUCAGGAAUACAGGUGGUGCAUGGUUGUCGUCAGUUCGUGUCGUGAGAUGUUAGGUUAAGUCCUAAAACGAGCGCAACCCUUGUCGUUAAUUGCCAGCACGUAAUGGUGGGGACUUUAACAAGACUGCCAAUUAAACAUUGGAGGAAGGUGAGGAUUACGUCAAAUCAUCAUGCCCCUUAUGAUCUGGGCUACAAACGUGAUACAAUGGCUGUGACAAAGAGUAGCUGAAACGCGAGUUUUUAGCCAAUCUCAAAAAAGCAGUCUCAGUUCGGAUUGAAGUCUGUAACUCGACUUCAUGAAGUUGGAAUCGCUAGUAAUCGCGAAUCAGCAUGUCGCGGUGAAUACGUUCUCGGGGUUUGUACACGCCGCC
rnacentral:rRNA from 1 species